rnacentral:rRNA from 1 species
CUACGGGGCGCUCCAGUGAGGAAUAUUGCACAAUGGGGGGAACCCUGAUGCAGCAACGCCGCGUGGAGGAUGACGCAUUUCGGUGUGUAAACUCCUUUUAUAUGUCAAGAAAAUGACGGUAGCAUAUGAAUAAGCACCGGCUAACUCCGUGCCAGCAGCCGCGGUAAUACGGAGGGUGCAAGCGUUACUCGGAAUCACUGGGCGUAAAGGACGCGUAGGCGGGUUGGAAAGUCAGGUGUGAAAUCCUACAGCUUAACUGUAGAACUGCACUUGAAACUUCUAAUCGAGAGUAUGGGAGGGGGAGAUAGAAUUAGUGGUUUAGGGGUAAAAUCCGUAGAUAUCACUAGGAAUACCUAAAGCGAAGGCGAUCUCCUGGAACAUUACUGACGCUAAGGCGUGAAAGCGUGGGGAGCAAACAGGAUUAGAUACCCUCGUAGUC